UACAGAGGUCUCAAGCGUUGUUCGGAAUCACUGGGCGUAAAGGGUGCGUAGGUGGCGUGGAAAGUCAGAUGUGAAAUCCGGAGGCUCAACCUCGGAAUUGCAUCCGAUACUCCCAUGCUAGAGAACUGGAGGGGAGUCUGGAAUUCUCGGUGUAGCAGUGAAAUGCGUAGAUAUCGAGAGGAACACUAGUGGCGAAGGCGAGACUCUGGACAGUUUCUGACACUGAUGCACGAAGGUGAGGGGAGCAAACGGG
rnacentral:rRNA from 1 species